GCGUUUCAGGUAUUCUUCUAAUAUUUAAUUAAUUUUGAUUAAUAGUCAUGAUAUGCUUUUUCCGCUGCGUUGUAUGUCAUGAUUCCAACAUCUCUCUCUUCCCUUUCCCCCAAAAUCAAAUCCCCAUCACCGACUUCUUCCACCAAAUCCAUCCUCAUCACCGGCCCCGACUUCGGACAACCCCAUCACUGUCGGCUGCGACAUCUCCAUCACCGGAUCUCCACGUGCCCAUUUCUCCUCCUCUAUCAAGCCACCGACCUCCCCCAACUCCGGCGACCGUGAGAUCACCCAACUCAGGUUAUCCAUGGCUAGAAAAAGUUUUAUGUUGUGAAGAGAGGUCGACGAUGUGGUAUUUUUUAUAAUUGGGAAGAAUGCAAAUCUCAGGUAGAUAAGUUCCCAAAUGCCUCCUACAAAGGGUAUGCAACG